CACUCCAGAGACUUAGGACAAGAUCUCGCGGGAGCAAAAGUCAUGGGAACAAGAGGGCGCUAAUGGCUGCUAAACAGUUGACACUGAAUCCCACAGAUGCUUCAGUACGUCAUCCCUCAACCCGGGUUUAGAGAUGAUGUGGGUUGGUGUGCUACACCAUGUAAAAAAUGAGCAUUAGUGGGCAACUAGCUUUUAUGAGCAUGAGCCAUUUGAAGUGGGCAGUGAUGAUAAGCCCUGGAUCAUCCCACAUAACUUUAAACAAACAAUGC